rnacentral:tRNA from 1 species
UCCCUGGUGGCUCAGAUGGUAAAGCGUCUGCCUACAAUGCAGAAGACCUGGGUUCGAUCCCUGGGUUGGGAA